GACGAACGCUGGCGGCGUGCUUAACACAUGCAAGUCGAACGGAAAGGCCCUGCUUUUGUGGGGUGCUCGAGUGGCGAACGGGUGAGUAACACGUGAGUAACCUGCCCUUGACUUUGGGAUAACUUCAGGAAACUGGGGCUAAUACCGGAUAGGAGCUCCUGCUGCAUGGUGGGGGUUGGAAAGUUUCGGCGGUUGGGGAUGGACUCGCGGCUUAUCAGCUUGUUGGUGGGGUAGUGGCUUACCAAGGCUUUGACGGGUAGCCGGCCUGAGAGGGUGACCGGCCAAAUUGGGACUGAGAUACGGCCCAGACUCCUACGGGAGGGAGCAGUGGGGAAUAUUGCACAAUGGGCGGAAGCAUGAUGCAGCAACGCCGCGUGCGGGAUGACGGCCUUCGGGUUGUAAACCGCUUUCGCCUGUGACGAAGCGUGAGUGACGGUAAUGGGUAAAGAAGCACCGGCUAACUACGUG
rnacentral:rRNA from 1 species